CGUCCACUCCAAGAAUGAGCAUUCAGGAUCUUUUCCUGGAGCUAAAUUACUACCCAGAAAAACUAUCCAGAGGCACUUUGGAAAUAUCUUCACUUACUUCUUGUUCAUACUAAUACGAACAACCUCACUUAUCUCAUUUAAGCACUGCAGUAGGCCUUUUCAUUCGUUCAUUGCUUUGCCAAAACUCUAAUAAAUUCAGUGAGAGCUGUACAUGAGAGAGAACUCCAGGACAGCAAAGGAUACCAAGGAUCUAAUCUGAAGACAUAAUGGAGAAUAUAACAGAUAAAAACUACAUAUCAGUCAGAGAAUAGGAAUAGAGACAUCUCCGAAGUGUGUGGCUGGAAGGACCCCCAAGAGGUCAGGUAUUCAGCCCAGCCCCCUGUUCGAGGGGGUAUCUAUGCAUUUGAUAGAAUAGACACUGGAUGAUGAAAGGAAUUCCACAGUUUCCCUAAGCAACUGCACCGAUGCUCAGAAAUCACGUGCAGCAAAUGGCAUGCGCGUCCGUCUUGGCAA